UUCUCACUUUGAGAUGACGCUGGGAACGCUCACGACACGAAUGGCUCCGUCAUGAGUCAUGACUCCGUUUAAAACCGUCCCGCUUGUACUCAUAUAAUAAAUCAAAGUGACUUCUGAUGCUCGCUACACAUAAGCACGGCUGUCAUUGGCUCCGGGGCAGUAAUAAUAAUCUAUGUUUAGACCUUGAUCACAUCGCGGCCAGCAAGUGCGACCUGUCAGCAUUCCGCAGAUACUGAGAGUCGCUCGGGUCUGACGGUAAGAGAGAUCAGGGAGAUAAGAGGAGGAAUUCCUGCUGUUCCAGCCUCCCUCCAGCGGGGGCUUGUGGGUAGAGGAGGCUUGUUGUGUGGGGUAGUAUCGGGGGACAAGGUGGUUACCAGACCCAGCGCGAUAUAAUAGCGAAUUAUAUGGCGAGAAUAAUAGAUAAUUGUUUCGAAAGACUCAUCGAAAUCAAACCAUUCCCUCUGGAGUUUGACUUAGUUUAGGUUGAGUUUACAACACGGUGUUUUACCGUCGCUAUUACAGGUUUAAAACCUUACCGCCGGAAGAGCCGCGCUGUGGCGCACCUGAACGAGCUGUGGUGCUCGCGCGCUGGUCCGCGUGCUCGACCCGCUCCCUUUAACUCUCGUACAACUUCUGUUAGCGCAGUAAAGAAAAGCAGACCCUAGGAAAUCCUCGUUUCAAUCAUUAACCAGAUAGUCCAGACACAACGCUCUCUACGCAGCUGUCUACAGAGGGACAUGUUCUCUCUGAGACCGCUAGACUGGUAGGAGCUCUCGUCACCACUACAGGUGCCUUCCUUCUCCCCCGAGUCGAAGGAGACACUGCCCUGCAUGAUGUUUGGAGCGGAGAGGAGGCUGGAGAACCGGCUGAAGAAGCUGGAGGCCAUGAUGAGGGACCCCAAGUCGGUACUCAAUCUGGAGACCAUGUUGGAUUCCAUGAAUGCAUUGGCCCGUGAUUUGGACUACCCUGCCCUCAGGAAAAACAAAAACAUAGAUGCAUUCCUGAACAGAUACGAGAAGGCGGUGGGCCAGCUGCGGGAGCUCCAGGUGAAGCUGGAGGACUUCGACCGGGUCAAGCUGAUCGGCCGAGGAGCCUACGGUGAAGUGCAACUGGUCCGCCACAAGGCCUCUCAGAAGGUGUACGCCAUGAAGCAGCUCAGCAAGUUCGAGAUGAUCAAACGCUCCGACUCCGCCUUCUUUUGGGAGGAGCGGGACAUCAUGGCCUUCUCAGACAGCCCCUGGGUCGUUGAGCUGUGCUGCGCAUUCCAGGACGACCAGCACCUCUACAUGGUGAUGGAGUUCAUGCCGGGCGGCGACCUGGUCACGCUCACCCUGAACUACGACCUCCCCGAGAAGUGGGUGCGCUUCUACACGGCGGAGGUGGUGCUGGCCCUGGACGCUAUCCACACCAUGGGCUUUAUCCACCGCGACGUCAAGCCCGACAACAUGCUCCUGGACCAGCACGGCCACCUCAAGCUGGCCGACUUCGGUACCUGCAUGCGGAUGGACUCGACGGGCAUGGUGCGCUGUGACACGGCCGUGGGCACGCCAGACUACAUCUCCCCCGAGGUGCUGCAGUCGGAGGGGGGGCAGGGCUACUACGGCCGCGAGUGCGACUGGUGGUCCGUGGGAGUCGUCAUCUAUGAGAUGCUGGUUGGUGAGACCCCGUUUUACGCGGAGUCCCUGGUUGGGACCUAUGGGAAGAUCAUGGACCACAAGAACAGCCUUCGCUUCCCCGAGGACGUGGAGAUGUCCCGGGAUGUCAGGGACCUCAUCAACCUCUUCCUCACAGAGAGGGAGGUGCGGCUGGGACGCAGCACCGUGGAUGAGAUCCAACGGCACCCCUUCUUCAAGAACGACCAGUGGACCUUUGACACCAUCCGACAGACGGUGGCCCCGGUGGUCCCAGAGCUGAGCAGUGACAUCGACACCAGCAACUUUGACGACAUUGAGAAGGUCAAAGGGGGCGACACCUUCCCCCAGCCCAGAGCCUUCGUGGGCAACCAGCUUCCCUUCGUGGGGUUCACCUACUUCAAAGAGGACCAGCUACUUGGUGGCAAUCUAUGCAGCUCAUUGAAGGAGGACUGCUCUGAUGAAAAGGACGACUCUCGUGGCGAGCUGAAGGAGAAGAUCCACCAGAUUGAGGAGCAGCUGGACCAUGAGAUGCAGGCCAAGGAUGAGCUGGACCACAAGUGCAGGCAUGCCACCAGCCGCCUGGAGAAGUUGGUGAAAGAGCUGGACGAGGAGAUGAGCAGCCGUCAGGGUGUGGAGUCGUCCCUCCGUCAGCUGGAGAUGGAGCGGGCCCUGCUGCAGCACCAGAACACUGAGAGUCUGCGCAAGGCCGACACCGAGAUGGAGCGCAAGCGCAGCCUGGAGAACGAACUGAACAGCAUGCGAGACCAGCUGGAGGAGCUGAAGAGGAGGAACCAGAGCUCCCAGGUCUCCACCGAAAAGAACAUUCAGCUGCAGAGACAACUGGACGAGGCCAGCGCCGCGCUGCGGGCGGAGCUGGAGGUGGCGGACCGCAGCCGGCGGAGCCAGGCGGAGGCCCAGAAGCAGGCCCUGGCUCUGGAGGCCAGCCUGCGGGAGGCUCAGGGGAAGUGCGCCCGGCUGGAGCAGGGCGAGGUGGAGCUGGAGAAGAGGCUGAGGGGCCUGCAGGCGGAGCUGGAGGCCGAGCGGAGGGAGCGCAGCCUGGGGGCCCAGAGCGCCACCGAGCUCCAGGCACGCAUCUCUAGCCUGGAAGAGGAGGCCAAGGAAGUACGCUCGUCUCUCUCUGAGGCUGAGAGCACCAAGAGGGAGCUGCAGCAAACCAUCACAGAUCUGGAGAAGGCGAAGAGCACCCAGGAGAUCGACCUGACCUUCAGCCUCAAGUCCCUGCAGCAGAGCCUGGAGCAGGAGGAGGCCGAACACAAGGCCACCAAGGCCGGCCUCGCCGACAAGAACCAGAUCUACCAGUCCAUCGAGGAGGCCAAGUCGGGGGCUCUGAAAGAGCUGGAGUGCACCCUGCAGGAGGAGCGCAGCCAGAGGCAGCAGGUGGAGGGCCGGCUGCUCCAGCUGGAGAAGGAACACUCUAUGCUGGACCACGACUACAAGCAGAGCCAGCACACGCUGGAUGAGCUGCGCACGGACAAGAACAAGCUCACUGAGGAGGUGAUGACGGUGACCGUGCGUCUGGAGCAGGAGAUGCAGAGGCGUGGCCUGUCCCAGAAGGAGCUGGCGGUGCAGUCCCAGCAGGUGUCUGGGCUGCGGGGCUCUGAGAAGCAGCUGAAGCAGGAGCUCAACCACCUGCUGGGCCUGCAGCAGAGCCUGGACACCCACAACCAGGAGCUACGCAGGGAGAAGCAGGAGGCUGACAGCCAGCUGAAGGAUCUGAAAGACCAGCUUGAGACGCAGCAAUACUUCACGACUCUAUACAAGACCCAGAUCCGGGAGAUGAAGGAGGAGUGGGACGAGAGGAACAAGCUGUACCAAGACGCCCAACAGAGACUGGAGCAGUAUCAGGAGGAGAGGGAGUCCCUGGCCUCCAAGCUGGAGGCGAGCCUGACGAAGGCGGACUCUGAGCAGCUGGCGCGCUCCAUCGCUGAGGAGCAGUACUCGGACCUGGAGAAGGAGAAGAUCAUGAAGGAGCUGGAGAUCAAGGACAUGAUGGCCCGACAUCGGCAGGAGCUGAGCGACAAGGAGGCCACCAUCAGCUCGCUGGAAGAGUCCAACCGCACAAUGACGGUGGAUGUGGCCAACCUGGCCAACGAGAAGGAGGAACUCAACAACCAGCUGAAGGAGAAUCAACAACAACUUACUAAAGCUAAGGACUUGGAGCAGAACAUGAGCGCUGUCAAACUGUCCUUCGAGAAGCAGCUGCAGAACGAGAGAACCCUCAAGACCCAGGCCAUCAACAAGCUGACGGAGGUGAUGAACCGGAGGCUGACAGUGCAAGGCGUCCAGGUGGUCAACGACACAGAGGUGCGGCGCCGCAAGAAGGAGAACCAGAAGCUGCAGCAGGAGCUGCGCUCGGAGAAGGAGAAGCUCAACAGCAUCAUCAUAAAGUACCAGCGGGAUCUCAACGACAUGCAGGCGGUGAUCACGGAUGAGGGCCAGUCGCGCCUGGAGCUCCAGAUGGCGCUGGACAGCAAGGACAGCGACAUCGAGCAGCUGCGCUGCCAGAUCACCUCCCUCAGCAUCCACUCGCUGGACUCCACCAGCAUCAGCAGUGGCAACGACCUGGACGCCGACGAGGCCUACCCAGUGCGCGUCACUCACUCACACACCUCCGAGUCCAUGUCGUUCACGUACCAGCGCACGCAGAAGUCGGUCAGUAUCGGCACGCGGCCCGACCUGCGCUCAGCCCGCUUCCACUCCUCCGGCUCUGAGGAGGAAGAGGAGGAGGAGGAGGGACCUGCCAGGGGGGGCCCACCCUUGGCCCUCACCUGUGGGCGCCCCGCGGAGCCCGAGCGGGCAGCUGACUCUCGCCUGGAGGGCUGGCUGGCCCUUCCUACCAAGAGCUCCAAACGCUUUGGCUGGGACAAAAAGUACGUGGUGGUGAGCAGCAGGAAGAUCCUGUUCUACAACAGCGAGCUGGACCGAGAACAAGCCAUCCCCUUCAUGACGCUGGACCUCGAUAAACUGUUCCACGUGCGACCUGUCACUCAAACGGAUGUGUACCGCGCCGAUGCCAAAGAGAUUCCAAAGAUAUUCCAGAUCCUGUACGCCAACGAAGGCGAGAAUAAGCGCGAGCAGGAGUUUGGGGCGGAGCCGGUGGCGUUUGGCGAGCGGCCCUCCUUCAUCCCCCACAAAGGCCACGAGUUCAUCCCCACGCUCUACCACUUCCCGUCCAGCUGCGAGGCGUGCACGCGGCCCCUGUGGAACGUCUUCAAGCCCCCCCCGGCCCUCGAGUGCCGGCGCUGCCACACCAAGUGUCACAAGGACCACCUGGACCGCAAGGAGGAGGUCAUCGCGCCCUGCAAAGUGAACUACGACAUGUCGAGCGCCAAGGAGCUGAUCCUGCUGGCCUGCUCCCAGGAGGACCAGCAGCGCUGGGUGGGCCGCCUCCUCAAGCGCGUCCCCCGCCGGCACCCCUCCAGCGCCGGCGCCCCGCCCAGCCACCCGGCCGCCGCCGAGCCCUCCGCACGCUCCUCCCCCAUGCUGUCCCCCCGGGGCUCCCCCCGGAGCUCCCCCCGCCUCUCGCCCCACCGCAGCGCCAUCCGGCUGCAGAGCAGGACGCAGCCGGCAGCGCCGGCGGCCAGGAAGCCCAGCUCUGGGCCCACCAUGCUCCGCAUUAUUUUCCACUGACCACCACCAUCCACCCAAACCCCCUACCCCCCUGGCCCUCACCAUCCCUGUGCCCCUCUUGCUAGGAUGCUGCUUAACCCUGGGCAGAACGAGGCUGUUUGGAUGAUUUUAAUUUUAUUGUACUUUGAUUCUACAUUUGAGCAUAUUCUGUGACGUUAAUCAAAUCUAUGUGGUCCAGUGUAUAUAGACUGCAAACUGCAACCGACUUGUCUACCAUCAGAUACUGGAUCGUCCUGGAAUCUUUUUGUGAAAAAGAAUAAAGAACAUUGGCCGUCUGUUGUGUAAUACAGAUGGAGGGAAGCCAGGAAGAAACCAUAUAGACAAUGAGCACCAAAGAACAAAUACAUAGAGGCCUUAUUCUACAACCAGUGUGCCUCCAACGCUGUGUGUGUGUGUGUGUGUGUGUGUGUGUGUGUGUGUGUGUGUGUGUGUGUGUGUGUGUGUGUGUGUGUGUGUGUGUGUGUGUGUGUGUGUGUGUGUGUGUGUGUGUGUGUGUGUGUGUGUGUGUGUGUGUGUGUCAAACAGUGUCUGUUUAUUAAUAAUAACCCAGAGAAUUGUAAUUAAUUUUCUCUUUAUGACAUGGAUACCAAAUCUAACUGCACAUAUUAUAUAUGUCUCACCUGUAAAUGAUUGAUAUUCUUAAGAAAGGGGAUAGCAUUGCAUUAUAAUCAGUCUUGACAUAUGGAUGUAUUCUAAAAAGGACUAAUGUUUAUUAUAAUUUAGCACACAUUAUAAAACAAUGAAGAAACAACAAAAACAUUGUAGGAAUUCAGAUAUCUAUUUCUCCAUCUUCAAAAAUAAAUGGUUACACAAAUAGUUAAUAUCUGGAAAUAAGUCGUUUGGUUGUUCAUUAUUUCCAUCAGUUAAUUUCAAUGUCGGGAAUGUCAAAAUGUAUAAAAUAAUAUAUAAAAACACCACUGCAUUCUAGACACUAAAGAUGUGUUUUGCAAAUCCUAAUGGUCCCUGAGCUAGGUCAAACGUGGGGCGUGUUUCGGGGCCAUGUCGCUGGAUUGUUGGGGGAUGCUUGAGGUCUCUGUCUCAAUUGGUCCAUAAGGUGGAUUCCAUAGCGUCUCCCUCUCCGUUUGGGCCCAUUCUGUCUGACCCAACGUAAUGCCUUCACAACAGAGGCGCCUUAAUAUAUUGUUCAACAAAUGUUUAUUGUGUGGGCUAACUGCUUCUAUUUUUGUUUUGUUCAAUGUUGCUUUGAAACUCCUCUCCCCUAGCCCUGUUAGCUUGUUAUUAAACCCUUAUAAUGCCCUAAUGGUGUAAUUUAAAACCAAGUCUUCAGUCAUUAUGUCAGAGGCGGAGGCACGGGCGGGCCUAGGCCCGCCUACUUGUCAGUCUUGCCCGUCCAGCUCAAGAAUCUGUCAAAUCGUGAAAUCCUCCAUCCCAUGUCUUGAGACCGCCGUGUCCCUCCCCACUGAAUUCACGUCCCCAUGCUGCCUCCACAAGAGCUGUUAAUUAUUUUAUGUCGAGGCCAUCUGCAUUGCAAUUGUGGGCUGAGAAAUAAUUGACCUGUCGAUUAGUCAGAAUUUCUCAGCCCACAAUUGAGAUGCAGAUGGCCUGGGCCCGCCUACUUGUCUGGCUUUGCCCGCCCUUUUUUUUUUCCUCAGCAAUUUGAACAUUUAUGGUUACGCCACUGCGUUUAGUUUAGAAACAGCCGCUCAGGACCGACUCCUUUAGCCCCGGACCCCACCAGAGGUCGCUAGACUGCGGCCCUCCGCUGCGGCAGACGGAGCCCGGACACAACGUCCACGACGAUGAGUAACGGAGACCCAGGGGGCUGCAUCAUCCCUGCAGUAUAUCAAUAAAAUGUAUAAAUAUCAGAAAAAAUGGCACCGACAUGUUGAAAAUAAUGUACUUGUACCUGAAGUGUUAAUCUUAACUGCACACAAAAAGUGUUUAAAAAUGUUUUUAUCUAUAUAUCGCCUAUGAAAUCGUUUGAUCUUCGUGUAGCAAUUAAUAGUAUAUAGAAGUCUAUAGUUUAAGUAUUACCAGUACAGCUUUUAAAGGUGGACUAUUACCCAUUUGGUAUUGAAUUCUGCUACUGACGCAAGACUUUCCUUUCUCUAUUGCUUUAUUAAACUUAAAUUACAACGAGGCAUGGGGAUGGGUUUUCUCUGCUUCAGAAUAGAGAAAAGGGAGCAGCACGCAAGGUGUUAAUCCUCCACAGGCUGUACUGUAUGUUAGGCAGCAUAAGGCCUCUCCCACCGUUAGUGAAUACUUGCAUUGUAGAAAGAACAGCCUGCCUCGACAGAUUAGGAGUUCUAAGUAACAUUAAACUUGACAUAUACUCGGAGGGUUAUUGUGUUUUGGCAGCUCAAGGGAGAAGAGAAAAGGUGUAGGGCCUAUGUUAAGAUAUCAUAAAAAAUGCUGUUAAACAGAUUUUAUGUGCUACUUAAUAAAUGCAAAGUGGUCAAGUAUGAUGUUUAUGAUGCUAUACCUGGUACGCACAAAACCACACUUGUGUCUUGUAUUAUAUGAUAAAAGAUGGAACACAGAUGAUAAAUAUUAUUUGCUAGAAACUUCUGAAAAGCAUAGUGAAAAAAAAAGUAAAUAUUUGUAACUGAAAAAUAGUUGGCAAGUAUUUGGUAUUUUCACCUAUUUUUGUCACCUAUUUCUAAAAAACAACUAAUGAAUGAUUCAAAUCCAACACAAUUAUGCAUAAAUGGUGGGAGGGCCAAUUGAGAAGAAAGGUUUCCACCAUAUCGAAUUGGUGAAAAUCAGGGUUAUUGGAGGCCUUUCAGUCAAUUGUCUCUCUUGUAGCAGAGCUUCCAUUAAGAAGACCCUUUCCUUACACACUGACAAUGCUCUGCCAUUUAAAGGGAACGCCAAGCUCCCAGACAGCUAGCCUUGAUAAUGAAGUGAGCGCACAGACUUGGUUAAUAACCCGUCAUAUGUAUACUGUCUUCUAUGGAUCGUUGAGAAGGAGUCACUAAAAUAAUCUAUAUGUUCACUGUGGAAGUCAUAAAUACUAAUCUCCAUCUAAGGUGUUGAUGGAGAUCAACAUGAAUAUACAUUGAAUUCAUGGAAACAUACAAAUAAUCUGCAUACGUCAAUUGCAUCAGUUCAAGGAAGUUCAAGAUGUUAAAGAUGAAUUUCUGAAUUGAAAUGUAAGCUACUUUUGAUGAAUUUGAGUGUGUGAUUUGAUUGCAACAUAUAAAUCUGUAAUAACAUCAAUUCUUCUUAAGG